rnacentral:rRNA from 1 species
AUGCUAAUACGGGAUAAUAUAUUUGAGAGGCAUCUCUUGAAUAUCAAAGGUGAGCCAGUACAGGAUGGACCCGCGUCUGAUUAGCUAGUUGGUAAGGUAACGGCUUACCAAGGCGACGAUCAGUAGCCGACCUGAGAGGGUGAUCGGCCACAUUGGAACUGAGACACGGUCCAAACUCCUACGGGAGGCAGCAGUGGGGAAUAUUGCACAAUGGGCGAAAGCCUGAUGCAGCAACGCCGCGUGAGUGAUGAAGGCCUUCGGGUCGUAAAACUCUGUCCUCAAGGAAGAUAAUGACGGUACUUGAGGAGGAAGCCCCGGCUAACUACGUGCCAGCAGCCGCGGUAAUACGUAGGGGGCUAGCGUUAUCCGGAUUUACUGGGCGUAAAGGGUGCGUAGGCGGUCUUUCAAGUCAGGAGUGAAAGGCUACGGCUCAACCGUAGUAAGCUCUUGAAACUGGGAGACUUGAGUGCAGGAGAGGAGAGUGGAAUUCCUAGUGUAGCGGUGAAAUGCGUAGAUAUUAGGAGGAACACCAGUUGCGAAGGCGGCUCUCUGGACUGUAACUGACGCUGAGGCACGAAAGCGUGGGGAGCAAACAGGAUUAGAU